rnacentral:lncRNA from 1 species
AAGAAUGCAAGAAAUACCACUGCAUAGUUUUAAGACUAAUGUUUUAUUUGUUUUCCUACAAAUAAGUCAGUUGUGACAAACCUAAAGGUGGACAAACCUAAAGGUGACGAGCCUACUUUAGUGUCAUCCUAUUAGUGUUACACAGGAAACGUGAACAACCCUCCCUCUACCUUCAGAGCCUCAGCGCAGCUACCAGGAGGAGCCGCCAGCCCCUGAACCUCAGCCUGAGGGGUUGCUGCGCUUCCUCUGCUAAAAACAAAACCAAACCUCUAGUCACAAACUGGCCGAAUCGUGGCAGGGCCGUUAAAAUGCUUACUGCUCGUUACUACUCGGUACCUCACCAGAUUAGGACACCAACAGUCAAACAAGAGUGGUCCGAAGCAAAGGGAGAGCUCCCCGAAGACCUGCAGCACCUCCUCCUCCUCACAGGGGGGAUUGGGGGCGCCCCAGGGUGGCUGCCAGCAGCCCCUCUAGAAGCACUUGCGGUGGACGAUGGAGGGGCCGGACUCGUCGUACUCCUGCUUGCUGAUCCACAUCUGCUGGAAGGUGGAGAGGGAGGCCAGGAUGGAGCCGCCGAUCCAGACGGAGUACUUGCGCUCCGGCGGGGCGAUGAUUUUGAUCUUCAUGGUGCUGGGCGCCAGGGCCGUGAUCUCCUUCUGCAUCCUGUCGGCAAUGCCCGGGUACAUGGUGGUGCCGCCCGACAGCACGGUGUUGGCGUACAGGUCCUUGCGGAUGUCCACGUCGCACUUCAUGAUGGAGUUGAAGGUGGUCUCGUGGAUGCCGCAGGACUCCAUGCCCAGGAAGGAGGGCUGGAAGAUGGCCUCGGGGCAGCGGAACCGCUCGUUGCCGAUGGUGAUCACCUGCCCGUCGGGCAGCUCGUAGCUCUUCUCCAGCGAGGAGGACGAGGCGCAGGAUGGCGUGGGGCAGCGCGUAGCCCUCGUAGAUGGGCACAGGUGUGGGUGACGCCAGUCGCCGGAGUCCAUCACGAUGCCGGUGGUGCGGCCGGAGGCGUAGAGCGACAGCACGGCCUGGAUGGCCACGUACAUGGCCGGGGUGUUGAAGGUCUCGAACAUGAUCUGGGUCAUCUUCUCCCGGUUGGCUUUAGGGUUGAGGGGAGCCUCGGUGAGCAGCACCGGGUGCUCCUCCGGGGCCACGCGCAGCUCGUUGUAGAAGGUGUGGUGCCAGAUCUUCUCCAUGUCGUCCCAGUUGGUGACGAUGCCGUGCUCGAUGGGGUACUUCAGGGUGAGGAUGCCCCUCUUGCUCUGCGCCUCGUCACCCACGUAGCUGUCCUUCUGCCCCAUGCCCACCAUCACGCCCUGGUGCCGGGGGCGCCCCACGAUGGAGGGGAACACGGCCCGGGGAGCGUCAUCCCCCGCGAAGCCCGCCUUGCACAUGCCUGAGCCAUUGUCCACCACGAGGGCAGCGAUCUCCUCGUCUGCCAUGCUGAAUGCACCUGGGGGACAAGGAGGGGGGGGUCACAGAGCACCUCUGCAAGGGCCCUGCCCUUGUGUGAUGAAGGACCAGAGGGGUCAGGGCACUGGAAAUGGCCAGGGAGUGAGAAGGGGCAUGGAGGAGACUCCAAGAUGGGUCCUGGGGGUGCCAGAAAGGCAGCAGGGUGACCUAACCCCGCACAGCAUGCACACCCUGAGGAGCCAGGACACCCACAACAUCCCCCCCCCCCCCCAAAAAAAAAAUCUCCCCAGGGAGGCCCUCUUCUCCCCUGAUUCCCCCAAAAAAACUUAGGGACAUCCCCUUUUCCCUUACCAAAAAAAGAGCCUCAAGGAACCCCCCACCUUUUUCCCUCAAAAAAAAAAAAAGAAAAACAAGGAAAAUUUCUCUCCCCACCCCUACUCCAAGCCUCCUGAGGGCCACCCUCCUCCCCACAAAGAAAACCCUCAGGGCACCCCCAUCUCCCUCCACCCCAAAACCCCCUCAAUAACACCCCCUCUUUCCCCCUAACCGAAAAAGACCCCUCAGGACACCCCUCCUCCCCCCAAAACCCCCGGUGGGCACAAACCCUCCCCCAAAAAGGCCCCUGAGGGCUGCCCCCCUCACCCUACCCUCCAAAAAUCCUCUCAGGGCUGCCCUUCUCCUCCCCACAUCCCCCAAAACCCUCCAGGGCCGCCCCCUGCCCCCUAUUUCCCCAGCACCCCCCCGGUACCCCCCACCAAGGCCGCCCCCCGCAUACCCACCUGCGCCGCCGCCGCCUCGCCUCCGACUGCCCAGCCCCGCCCCGCUCCCUUCCUUUUAUACCCCCGGAACCGGAAGCCGCUCCAUCCUCGCCGUCCCAUUGGCCGAACCACCUUUCCCUCACCAUCCGUCCCGCCCCUUCCGGGCUCCACCGUUGCCGGGGCCGCACCCGGAAGUUCCCGCCUCGCUUCCGGGGCCGGGCACCGCCCCCCCCCUCCCCGCGGCCCCGUUUCCGGUGGGGCUGAGGCGGGGCGGGCCCGGGGCCGGGGGGGCGGUGGCGGCGGCGGCGGGCGGGGCCCGGGCGGCAGCGUGAGGGGGGCCGCAGCCGGCACGGCCGGGCCGAGCCACAGGUAACGGAGCCCGGGGAGCCCGGGGGGGAGGCAGGGGGCCGCGGGGAGGCAGCGCCGGGGGG